rnacentral:lncRNA from 1 species
CAUUAGUAACUCCAGCAGAAAUAGUGUAAAUAAUUAUCUAAACAUAAUAACCAUAAAUAAAAUAGCAUGCAAUAAUAUCAGACAGUAACUACCAUAAAUAACUACCAUAAGGGAGACACAAUCCAAAACACAAAUUAUCUAUGGACAUCCCUGCCAAGCCUCACCCAACCCCGGGUGAGGAGUACGAAAAAAUCUAGGGGCCCUUAUCCUACAACCCUGAUACUAGACCUCCAGACUUUCCUAUCAAGG